UAGUCCACGCCGUAAACGAUGAGUACUAGCCUUUGGAGGUAUUGACCCCUUCAGAAGCAAAGCUAACGCAUUAAGUACUCCGCCUGGGAAGUACGGUCGCAAGACUAAAACUCAAAGGAAUUGACGGGGGCCCGCACAAGCGGUGGAUUAUGUGGUUUAAUUCGAAGCAACGCGCAGAACCUUACCUAGGCUUGAAAUCCUUCGAAUCCGACGUAAUUGUCGGAGUGCCCGCAAGGGAAUGAAGUGACAGGUGCUGCAUGGCUGUCGUCAGCUCGUGUUGUGAAAUGUUGGGUUAAGUCUCGCAACGAGCGCAACCCCUAUCUUUAGUUGCCAUCAUUAAGUUGGGCACUUUAAAGAGACUGCCGGUGACAAACCGGAGGAAGGUAAGGAUGACGUCAAGUCAGCAUGCCCCUUAUGCUCUGGGCUACACACGUGCUACAAUGGCCGUGACAAAGAGUUGCUACUUUGUGAAAACAAGCUAAUCUCAUAAACGCGGCCUCAGUUCGGAUUGCAGG
rnacentral:rRNA from 1 species